UGACGCAUCCUUUUUGAGAAUCCCGAACUUAAUAUCAUGACCCUCGCUUCGAAAUUCCCAACUGCACAGAUGAGCCGCACGCUUAAUGGAAACGCAGCCGUCGUCACUUGCGAGGAAGUGAAACUUCCUCGUCGAUUCCCCGACUCGACGUUGUCGAUGCUUGAUGUAUUGACAGGACGGUCUACAUUGACUUGUUACUAGCGGAGGUUCUCAUCAAAGUGUUACUUUUACUGAGACUUGUAGAAAAUCAUGGAAAAUAUAGAUUUUGGCGAUAUGAGUGAUUAUUUUACACGCUCGUUUGUGUUACAUUUCUUACGUACAACGCGAUCGGAGAACUUUUAUAAAUAUUCGGGCGGCGUACGUCAAAAAUAAAAGUUUGCAUAAAAGAUACGUUAUACCGUUAUUUCUUUCAAAAAUAAACAGCUCGGAUCAAAUUAAAUAAAUUAGCGUCGUUUCACAAGCGGUUAGAAGAAACGGAUUAUUUCGCAAAUGAAACUUCUAGCAUGCAACUAGGCGAUCAAAAAAAUUCUCUUAAUUCGUCGAUGAAUUACUAGAAAAAUGCCUCCGUAGAAUUUUAAUUCGCAACUUUCAAUUACCGUAGAGCGUAAAACGCGAGAAUUGAGAAGUCGAAAUAAAUUGCUCAGCGCACUACAAUCUGUUUAUUACCUGAUCGAAGCGAAUCGUUACGUUGUACACAAAAUUAGUGAUACGAUAUGUGGAAUGUGGAUCUCUUGCAUCACGAGACAGUUGCUAUUACAACAUCGGUUCCAUGGUCGAUGGACAAGACCGGGAAAAGUGUGCGAAGAUACCGAGAUGAACGAUCGUGAGGUAGAAGAGCAAUCUAGCGCGGUGAAAUCUUCCCUCAAUAUC